rnacentral:rRNA from 1 species
AUUGAACGCUGGCGGCAGGCCUAACACAUGCAAGUCGAGCGGGGGUAGCAAUACCCUAGCGGCGAACGGGUGAGGAAUGCUUGGGAAUCUGCCUGGUAGUGGGGGAUAACGUUCCGAAAGGAACGCUAAUACCGCAUACGUCCUACGGGAGAAAGGGGGGGAUCUUCGGACCUCUCGCUAUCAGAUGAGCCCAAGCGGGAUUAGCUAGUUGGUGAGGUAAAGGCUCACCAAGGCGACGAUCCCUAGCUGGUCUGAGAGGAUGAUCAGCCACACUGGAACUGAGACACGGUCCAGACUCCUACGGGAGGCAGCAGUGGGGAAUAUUGGACAAUGGGCGAAAGCCUGAUCCAGCCAUGCCGCGUGUGUGAAG